AUGCUCUUGCUAACCUCAGAUUCCCUCUCAGUAUUGGAAUGUAUUGUAAUAGUUUUUGCGGCCUGUUGUAGCGCGGCAGGUUGUUUUGUUCCGGCGUUGCGGAGAGAGGUGCUUGUGUGAUUUCCCCCACCAGUGAGAGUAUAGCGCCUCCGGUCCUGGGGUAAGCUGUUCAAACUAUUUUUAUUAGCAUUCACAGCUACCAGAGGCUAAGGUUACAUUUAUCUGUUUUAGGGUUGGAGCGCUGCCUUCACCUCCGUGGCAACUCACACAGCCUUAAGUGAAGAAUCAAGACACCUGCCUAGCCGUUGUUGUGAGGGCUCCUCCUCAGUGGAGCCUGCUGUCUUGUCUUGUCUUGUCUUGUCUUGUCUUGUCUUGUCUUGUCUUGUCUGGUUUUGAAUUGUUUUAUCGUGUCUUAUCUUGUUUUAUUAAGUAGGCCUACCAUUUCCUGGUUCGCCUGGUUUUAUUUUAUUUUAUUUCUGAACUGUGGCGUGUGCCCACGCUUCUGUGAUCGGGCUGAAGCCAUUCUUUGCCCGAGUGUCGUGCCGGGGAUUUUAAAUUGCCCCCGUUGCUGGUCUUAGCCUGUGGGGAGCCAGACCAGCUCGCGAUUGAGGCUGGGACCAUUACUACCAGUACGAGUGGACCCGUGGGGCACAAGCCUUCCUGUGUGUGUGUGUGUGUGUGUGUGUGUGUGUGUGGUUUCUUUUAUUAAAGUGUGUUUUAGUUCUUUUUAUCAUCUGUAGCGAGCCUGACGCUCAGUGUCCUUUUAUUCUUUUAACAUAUUUUUCUGUGUUUUCUUUUAGUGAACGGAGGACGUACCAGUGGCCCUGGGACCUUAGGUGUGAACGGAGGACGUACCAGUGGCCCUGGGACCUUAGGUGGUGGGUCGUUUUCACACUUUCUUUUGUACAGCACCGGGUGGGCUGCAGUGAUUUUCGUUUUGUGUGAUUUUCUUUUGGGUCCACGGCUGCUGGUAAGUCCAAGUUCCAUGUUUGUUUUAUUUUCACUUUAGGACACUGUCAACAAUGACGCUACAUCUUGGUUUCUAAAUAUUUUAUUUAUUUUUACUAUAAAUAAAACUGUUUUAAUAUUGGAGCCAACCUGCCUCAGUGUGCAUCCUUGAAUCUGUGCGGCCUCCUUUUAUUCUUUUUUAUCUAUUUUUCUUAAAUAUAUUUCCUGGGGGUGAAAUUCCCCUAGGUGGCGUUGUCAUUUUAUUAUUUCUUUUAUAACCCCGCCGACCACUUGGUCACAUAAGCAUCUGCACAGACGGCAUGCUGAGGCUAAGCUAGCCAAGAACCCAGAGUGAUGUUAAAGCUGAGCCAGCCCAGCAGACACACCUCCGACCUCAACAGGUAACAAAGUGAUGAGCAGUCAGGCUGCAGCCUCUGUUUCUACAUGUUCAGUGAGUCAAAGUAAAAUCACUGAGGUGAUCGCUCUGUGCUGCUUUUCACUUUGGCUUAGUGUUCAUACC
rnacentral:lncRNA from 1 species